GCAGAAGUGGUUUGCAUGGUUUGUGCUCGGCAAGCCAAACAAAUGCAAAGCGAACAAAACCACAGCCAUUGUGUGAACGUGCCACGCCGCGGGACAGGCACGAGACAGCGGCUGCGGCGGGAAUCCUUCGGGAAGCUGCUUCGCUGUGACUUUGGUUUGAGAAUUGCUCUUACGAGGUCAGCAGUGAGAGUGUGCGUGUGGUGGCAGUGCGGGGACGGGGAACAGCCUUUCUAAAAGCUGCAGCGGGCUCUCUGGAGUGUGAAAUAGGAAAGUGUAUUUAAAUGCAAUGGAUAAAUGCCACCACAAGGGAGCUUCAGUCUCUCGGUAGGAGGCAGGGUCUGCUAAAAAUUAUCGCAUCGCGCCAUCUGCUGAGGAAGCGCUGCACUGCAGGCCGGGUGGUGAAGUCCAGAGAGCUUCUUAAGAUGACUACGUAGGAUGAGAAGAACUAUUGACUAUUUACAGAGCUAUGCAAGACCACUUGUUGAGGAUUCGGAUGGGAGUUGUGGACAAAGAGCUUCAACAUGGAAGGAGGACAAUCUUAGCUGCUCUUGGUGGGAGAGAUGGUGCUGUCUGAUCUUUCAUUUGAAGAAUGUACAGUGGAAACAAAAUAAAUGCUUACUUGGCCAUAAUUUCUCAGUUGUGAGAACUGACCAGAUGAGGAGAGAAACAGAUGAGGAAGGAAGCUGUGGCCACAAGCGGGAAGAGUCAGCCUUCUCGUGCACGGCGCAUCUGCCACAGGCCAGCUAGCAGGACAGAGAAAGCAAGACCAGGAGGACAACAGCACUGUCAUUUCCAAGAUGUGGACGCUGCCUCCUGCAAUUGAAGAGCAGCAGCAGGGCCGGUUUCAGCGGAUCACUGCAUUCGGAGAUUCUGUCCAGGUACCCCUUGGACUCACAUAAUGUUUUUGGAGCAGCACUGAGCGAUUAUCUCAGCAGAUACUGUAAAUAGCACUGGGAAACAGUAGGAAUCAUUUGCAUUUCAAAUUCAAAUACAUGUCCCAAGUGCUUAUCCAAUAUUCUGACUAUUUCUAGCAGUAACAAUUUUCAAACUGCAAUAGUUAGAGCACAACUCCAAUCAUAUGUGUACAUAUACAGGGAUAUAUAUUGUAUUAUAUGUCUAUGGAUGUAUUUCUCCUUUUUUGUUAUGUGUAGCAUAUGAACCUAAAAUCACUAAAAGCGACAGCAGUAAAAAUAUUUGAAAGCUUUCCUGUAUAGAUGACAGAUGGACAACAGAUGCGUACCAGAGGUAUGCAAAGUCAAGCCUUUAACAGUUGACAAAUGCUAAAGGUUACGUUUCUAUCUCUAUCUGCACUGGUUCUAGCAGUACCUAAGAUAGAAUCCUCUAUCAGAUAUUCUUGUAAUACCCUCUGGUAUGUGCACAUCUAUUUAAAUGCAUACUUAACAUUUCUUUUAAGCCUUCUGGAACUUUUGUCUUGCUAAAUUUGCCAUCUUGUGAUUUCCAUCACCUACUGUUUAUGUACUUUUUGAAAACACGUAUGAUCUUGAAAGGAAAGCAAGGAGCAGAAGUGAAAUAUUUCAAAAAGAUAAAUCAUUUGUAAAAUCAUUUUUGGACUAAGCCUGUAUACCUGAUAACUAAGUAUGAGUGUUUCCCACACCUCUCUUUAAACAAAUAUAAUUAUUGAUCUUGUAAAGUAGCAAUCUUGCUAUAUUUCUUUCCUAUAUUGAACAGGAGGACAAAAUGAAGUUCUGUAAUUUACAUUUAUCUUAACACAGGAAAACAAGAGGUCAAAAACUACUGUGCGUUUCAUUUGUUAAUAUGGCUGUGAUAAAUGUGUAUGCAAUAGAAGGAGGUACAUACUGCACCUUGCAUUGCUGCACUGUCAUGUUGGGUUCCGUUGUGUUCUAUUUCCAUAUCUGGGAUUCCAGCAUCUGAAAGAUGUGACACUGAAGAUUAAUGCAUUCCCCUUUAUCCUCCUCUCAUGCAUCUUUAGAAAAAUAUUUAUAGCAAACUAAGGUGAUCAGCAAGUUGCACAGCCUCGCAUAAAACAUUUGGUCUUCACAGAAUUUUCUGUAGUAAAUCGUUUUCAGAAUGUGCAAACAUUACUGGUCUCACUGUGGAUCAUUUUUAAUGUGCUUCACAUUUGUCUGAUGAUCAGAUAAUAAUCAACACAUGAUAAUAAUGUAUCUGUAAAAUUCUUUUGGAGAAUAAAGGCAUCUGACAUAUGAAGAAUAAAAUGGAAAUUAAACUGUGGCAUUGCUAAACCAAAUUUACUGUCUCAGGCAAAUACCUGCAAAAUAAGAGAAUUAAAGCCAGUACCAGUAAACAUGUCUGCAUCCAUGUGCAUGUUUGUAUGAGUGUAUUAUUGCAAACAGGGACAGUACUGUACCAGCUCAGGUUGUGUAAGAGUACUUCAUCACCCAAAGGAAGACUACAUAUGUGAUAUUAUGGGAAAGACUUCCAGGUACCUGAGAAGAGUUUUCCAGAGAGGACUGUGCUGUUUUUUUCCAAGUUGAGAAGGAGUCUCAUAAUGAUAUAUGCUCUUGAGCUAUUUAAUGUCAUACUGAUAAUACCUCUGUCUGCAGUCCUUUGGGGUGGGGCUGAAGGCUCCAACACCCCAGGGCGUUACGACAACAGAUGCCAUUAUCCACCUUGUGCCAACAAGUAUUAGCAUGAAGGGUAUGUGAUCUGAAUCCAUGGUACCUCAAAUCUUGGAGAAACAUCUGCUUCCCUCAUAAUACAGCACUUAGAAUUUACAGUAGAAAAGAAAAAAACAAAAAAACCCAAGAACACCUAAAGGGAGAUGUGUGAGAGAAUAACUGCACUGCUGCUUUCUCAGAUCACUCAAUCCGCACAGUACCUGUUGCAAAGAUGACAUUCUGCUGGUCACAUACAGCCUGAACGAGCUCUGUGUCAAAGCAGGGCAACUGAUUCAAGCAUGUCUAUGUGUAAUGCAGUACAUGAUUAAUACAUGUGUGUAUGUACCUUAGAUAUAUACGUGUAUAUGAAAUAUGGGAUGUCUGUGUAUGUAGUUGUAUAAAUAUAUAUGAGCAACUAAAUAAUUAAUGUACAUAAUUUUUUCUUUAAAAAGAGCAGGUGACUGUUAUUACAUAGCGUUUUUCUUGUUCUUGUUUGAAGUUGAAGGCACUGGACUAGAAACCUAAAAAGGUUCUCUCUUUUCAAACCUUCUAGACUAUACUUUGUAUGUACGUAAAAUGACAAAGUCAUCUGUAAUAACAGCAUCUGUUAAAUGAGACAGACCGUCAGAGUUAAAUUAAAAAUAUUCAGAAUAGCCCUUCACAUUUUGUUGCCAUAAAAUUGUACCUGCAAUUAAAUUGUGGAUUAAGAUGCUAAUGAGCUACCUGAUUUGCAUGUGCAAUCAGAUUAGCAUGUAAAUAUCAGCUUUUUGCAGGCACCAACAUAUAUAUGACUACCUGAGUGUGCCUGCAAAUCAAAAUGUUAGCAGCCAGGCCGACAAUAGCAGAUGUAAAGAUCUGUUAAUCACAUUGCUGGGGUGUUGGUCCCCUUUAAUUUGUGGCUUCCAGAACUGCUGAGUACUCGUAACUGUAGUGCGAUCGGCAGGUGCUUACCAGCAACGACAGCAUCUGGGUGAGUGACCUUACUGAGCGUGAGGAUUUUAGUUUUCAUCUGACAUUCAUCACAGGGUGCUGGCUGUGCCUGGGGGAUCUGACCCAGGCAUUUUCUUGACCCGGUAAGGGUGGUACAAAAGGUACUUUUGUACUUGAGAGGCUGUGCCCACUCAGCCUCUGCUGGCAGCCUGUCCCUUAACACGGCACAACGGCAAGCUGUAUAUCCAUGCCUGAAUCACCACCGCUCACUGUCAGUGUCAGAACAGCCAGCCAGUUCCAGGGUACAGUGAUAUGCUGGACUAUAAAACCCAGCAGAUGAGAAUGCCUCUGAAAGAUGUUGCUCUCAUAGUUAAAGAGUUUAUAUCUCUUAGGUGCUCCAGCUAAAUCACAACUCAUGGCCCACUGCAGAGAGCUGCAGUGGCAGUUCAAACAGACAGGCUUGCCCUACCUUUAAAAAACAGCUUGGGUACCCUUGCAACUGAGAUCAAAGGCCAAGUUAAACUGAUUACUUUCACUCAGCAGUUUCUGCAGUCUGCCUCUGUUAUUAUGGCUCAGUUGCUAGCAGUAGCCAAACGAGGCAAAGUUAAUGUGAAGACUACAUGACGUACAAACGCAGCAGAGACUGAAUAUAACUCUGAUUCAUGAGCCUCUACAGAGACAUCAGGAUAGGCAAGAUGCAAAGACCAAACUUUAGCUGCAGAACCUGAAAUUAAAACUCAGCUACGUUUAGUCUUAAAAUUCAAACCAAUGUCCUGAAGUUUGCUCAGAACCACUUUAAGCAGGAGAGGUGAAUCCUCCCACUACCUGGAACAUAAUCAGCCUCUUUAUGAAAUUAACUGAUCUGAAAUUUGUUUCACGAGAAUAUCUGGGAAGUACCCAAAAACCUGGUCAGCUCAUAAGGCUGAUGCAUAUUUAACAAACUUCAUAGAUCCAGAGGCUGAGCAAACUUCAGCCAAACAGCUUUUAAAUGAAGCUCAGCAGAUCUAAAAAUGAAUCUGCUGGGAGAGAAGAGAUCAGAGAACCUCAGAGGAACCAGAUUUCACACUGUCUUAGCUGGCACUGUAACAGAUUUCUCUGGCCACAUAUUCAGCAUUUCUUGUCAUGCCUGUAUAAACUGCUCUAUGUUUCUCUUGUCGCAGACGUAUUUUUUUAAUUCAUGACCCAGAGUACGUGGUCUGAAAUAGAUUUCUAAUUAUUUCAGGAAAGGGUCGUGCAUUUUAUUCUGGAAUUUGCUUUAUGCACUGUUUUAGUUUUUUAACUUAAUUAAACAUCACUGUAUGUUAACUGUGAAAGGCCAACUAAGACAUUACCAUUUAACAUCCUGAGACCGUCACCUGAUGUGGCCUGUUUAAGCGCCUGUUCCACUUGUUCUCUUCUCUUGGAUUCAAAUUCCAAAGCCUCCUGCAAUUUUCUCUUCGCCUUUUUUUCUUUCUUCAAGCGUUUCUGAAUUGUUGCUGGAAUGCAAAUGUAUUUUAUCAGAAUGGCUGUUAUGGCACAAUUAAUAUAUAAUUGAGAGAGCAAACUUUUUUCUUAAUUUUUGAUGUUCAAGAGACAAGUUCUAGAUCAAGAAAAACAAUCGGACAUAAAUCUGAUAUAAACAAAGAAUGACUAAUCCAUACCCUGCUGUGAAACAACGGAUAAUCUGAAAGGACUUUAAAUCUUGUUAAAGAACUUAACUUUUAUUCUCACUCUGGAAUAGCCCCAUCGAUGCAAGGCUCCUGAUUAGAACCUGGGUUUCAAAGCCAGCUCAGACCCUGAGAGACUACUGAGAAGCUGAGUUAAAUGGGUCCAUACUGAAAUGAAGAUGAAAUGCAUAGAGAAAGAGUAGUUACUGAUGAAUGCGAGUUUAUCUGUGAGAAAAAGCACUUUCACCUUUCAUCACUAGUUCAAGAAAAAAAAGAGAGAAAGAAUAGGAACAAAAGCAUUGGGCACAUGGUGAGAAUCUCUGAGAGAAAAUAAGGACGAACUUCCCAGGUAGAAAGGAUGUUGAAAAUGAGCUUAAAAUACUGGUAUGUAAAUCAAGAACUUUUUAAUAUUCUCUCUGUCACUAAUAUCUCCUUCUAACAAAAACACUCCUGAGAUCUGUAUAGUAACUGGCUGUUUGGAUUAAAAAUGGGUAACAGUGCAGUGUUACAGUGCUUCUCUAUGGCUCUGUGUUAGUAGAGUUCGAUGUUCCUUACAGUCAUCUCCCUUUUAUAGAUGGAAAGCAGGGAAGUGCCUUGACAAAGAUCAUCCACGGGUCACAGGUAUAGCCCUGCAAGAUUUGGCAGAAAAUGGAAGUAUUCCUGACUUCUGUUCCCAAUCUCAGUUUUAAACCCAACUAUAAAUAAAAUUAAAACUGUAACUAGAAAACUAUACAGCAUUAAUUGUAGCCAGAUGAUUCACAUCUUCAUUGGGAACUGCUGACACUGCCUAAGGUUGUAUUCCCUCAUCUAUAUAAAUUCAGGCAAUAAAAUGUACCUUUUCCUUUUAAAACCCUGAAUCUUAAUUCCGUGUUUAACCUUAUCUUUCACCAGCACCAGGUUACCAUUUUUUUUGUUUGAUGUAUUGCUGAACCAUCCAGUGAUGGCACUAGAAAAGACCUGAAUUUGUGAUUGCGCCAAUCGGGGGAAUAAAAGGAUACCACUGCAUGAGUGAUCUCUGAGAGACUUAAUAAAUUAUGAAUGCCAGAAUGCGAUCUGGAAACAAAACUUUGGAAAGUUGAGUAACCCAUGUGGAAAGGUUUAUCUGUGACUACCUAUAAUAAUGUGGAUGUCGUGAUGACCUGAAAAACAAACAGUUCCAAGGAUACUGAUUAUUGGAGAAAUUCUUCAAGCCAUAAGUCAACCAAGUUUGUGAAUGACUUAAGGUUUUUGUUGACUUAAAUAUGACUCUGGAGGUACAAAGUGUGCUGUCUGCCUACACUGAGAUGAAGUUUUGUUUUACAGAAAUACAGCUGUCUCAUCUACACUUAGACUGGAGUGAUGCAAUGAUUUUGAACACCCACCGCCAUUUAACAAUUUCUGUAGUAUUCACUCCUCACAACUUGACUUAAAGUGUCUUUCUCUGUCAGCUCUUAGUGAGCCGUAGUGCUGCAGACAGGUUCCUCACCUCAUUUCAGUUCAAAACGCACAGGAAGAGAGUAGUAGGCACUUACAUCUGUAGUCUUAUCUAGCUUUAUCUUUCUGAUUUCAUGGAUGUAAUCCAGAAGUAGCUUUCGGCACAUGAAGAACUAUUUCUCCCCUUUGGAUGCAGAUUUGAAUUUUAAAAAGAAGACUGCCUGCUUUACAAUAUCACAGCGAAAAAUUUAGAUUUACCAAUUUAAUUGCCUGUUAUUAUCAAAAGCUUCUGAAGAGUCAUGGUUCUGUCUUAGAAGGUCUCAUGUUGGGAAAGCUUUUGUGUCUCACUCUUCUGAUGGCAAAAAAAGGUAUCUACAGUUAUUUGUUCCAGAUCUUGAAUUACAAGAAGUUGCCUACCCAAAUGCAACUAUUUGGUUGCACUGAAGUUAUCUACAGGACAAACUAGCUGAUUUACAUACUCCAAUUACAGACGUAUUAUUUUUCUCAAAAUAAGACUGAUCUUCACUGCUUGGUCCUCCACGCAUAGCAGCAGGAAACAAAAGAAAUUAAAGCUGUCAAAUGAAGAAAUCAGGCUGGGAAUACACAGACAGUGCAGUAAUAAUGCAAAUGAAAGCCAUGAAACUGAAACAGCUUUCCCUACAGAACCAGCCAAAAUGCUCUGUGGCCAGUUGCCCUCCAGGAAAUAAUCCUUCAGUCCCUGUUCUGUCUGCUUACAGAAAAGUGUGCUUCAUUCUGUUUUUAUUAAAUUUAAAUCUUUCAUUACCAGUGCUAGUCCACUGCUACAUUACACCGAAGUAUGAAUGUCAGUUAACUCAGUCCUCAACAGUUCCAGCUGGAAAUGCCAAAGGGUUACACUUUUAAUGGGUAUCUAAACUCCAUUUUUCAUUCACUCACCUCUGCUUUGCAGCUCAGCUGUAAGUUGCCUUUCCAAGCUCUCUCUGAGCUCUCUCUCUCUACAAAGCUCCAUCUUUAACUCUUUCUUUUCCUGCUGUAUCUGCUUUUCCUGGACUCUGGCAUUGUCCACAGCCACUUUCAGCAGGCCCUAAAACACACACAAAUGUGGGACCUGAAAAUACCGUUCUGUUUCAGCAGUGACAAAAUUCAUCCAUUUAUUUAUUUCACUCCCUUUAGAAAAAAACCACCACCAACAAAAACUCGGGAACCUAUAGACAUGGAACGCAACUGGACAUUUAAAGUGCCUAAAUGUUAAAUAUGAGCAAUUUUGUGGUAUAGCUUUUGCACAUUCAUCCUAUUGGUAUGGUUUAUUACAAAUGGAGUGCUGUAUCACUGCUAACCUUGGUCAACUGCAGGGAGAAGCAAAGGAGAAAUAAUGAGACUGGUGAAUUUUAAUAUGACCAUUAUUGCCAACUAAUAAGUCAAACAGACAAUGCAUAAAACGUUUCCACAAUUGAUAAUGCCAGAGAAUGAAAGGCAUUACACUAAAUAAAAGAAAUUAGAACUGCAGAUACAAAAUAGUUUCUAACUUUCUAAAAGAGUGGCAGAAGAAAUACAUUUUAUCUGUUACGACAUAGUCUGGCCCUAUAGAGAAUAACUUACCUGAAUGUUGGUUAAUAGUGUUUCAACUGAUGAAAGACCAUCAGCAAAAAGAAAUGGCGCUGGAAAUCCAGGAGGCAAGGCCUGUCCAGCCAGUUGGACUUUAUCUAAGGUUGGUUUCAUUAUUGGAAUGGCAAUCUGGACCUCUUCUGUAAAGACAGGUUUAAAAGCAAGAUCAGAAAGUAUUGGAAAUGUAGAGGUGAAAGUGAUUUUUAGAAACUGUUUCCCUGGAGGUCCAAAUACAAGCAUAUUAGUAAAGCUGAUACUGGUUCGGUCUUUGGGCAGCCAUGGUUAUUACUAAGGCAAGUUUGCAAAACAAUACAGAGCAAUAAUAAAUAUACUUAAGGCUAUAGCAUCGCUCUAAUAGACUAUAGAUCAUUAUAUCUCAAAUUCUACAAAAUUAUACUACAGAAUUAUAACAGUAUUAUGCAGUUCAUUAAACCUGAAUGACUUUUCUUCAUUCUAUCCUGUUUGCUAUUCUGCGAUGAGCAUUUUUCGUCGCUAUAACCUUGAAAAAAUUCUAAUCAAGAAAUGUACCACAUCUCUUUACCCUUUUUAGCAUUAUCCUUCCCAUACUCAGCAGUAAAUAAUCCCCACUGAGUCAUCCCCUCUUGCUCAUCCAGCACUGGCUCCGGCUGUCAGAGAGGUGUCUGUGCAGGCUCCCCGGGCAGGUGCCAUGCUGUGGUCAGCCCUGCCAUGGGCAGCGGCCAGAAGCACCACUGAGUUCUGCCUGCUGGGGGCACAGAGCUGGUGGCAGGGGCACAGGAGUGGCUGGGGAGGAGAGGGCUGAGCCAUGCUCUCGUGAUGUGCUGCCUACAGCUGGAUGGAUGCGUCUCCCUUGCACAGUGCAGCGCUGGAGACAGGUAACUUCCCCUUCACUCCCUGCUUCAGUUCGGUCAAGUUGCUAAAGAUCAAGCUGUGCAUGGACAGUAGAAAUGCGUACUCAGAAAGAAGCGAUGGCAUUAGCAAUUAUUUUCCCCAAAUCCCUUAAAUUUUGUCACGAAUCCUUACUGGCAUGAAUCUGAACUCACGUUUUUUAAUAGGGCAAUUUAAUGCUAUUUUAGGACAAUAAUACAUGUACCUCCUUCUCUCAGACCCCCCCUUUGUGUACUACUUCUCCAAAUACUCAUUUUAAGUAUCAAGUUUAAUGCUGAAAAUGAUGACAUUAAAAUCUGCUAGCAGUCUUCGAAGCCCAACUCUGUUCACUUCUUUGACACUAUGACGUUAAAAAAUACUGGUGUAACAUUCCAGGGAAUUGCAGUCCAUCUAUAAUAUUUUCCUUUAAUCUCUCUGGCACUUGCAGAAAUCAUGAAGAAUAUCUCCUCACAAUUGCUUUUUAGUAAAGCUUGAAACUAAUCUAUUGUCCAUAAGUUCAUGAUGCAUGUGUUUUCUAAGGGCAGCCACACAGCCAGUCCUGAUAGUUUCAUUUGUCAAGUGUCUCGGUCAUAUUAAUUCCAGGAUUUACAAUUAGACCCCACCACAUCAGAAGGCCUCCCUCCCCUCUCUCACCUCUCUUAUUUCAAAAACAACUCCGAAAGAAUCUGACAACAACAAAUUAAGCCCUGCAGCAGUAGCAUUAUCUGCUUUAACAACCUCUGGAGCACCCCGUGAGCAGCAAGUGCUUUUUGCCAUGUCUCUACAACACACCCACUGACAACAAGGCUGGGAGCGUUACCAGAUUCUAAGUAUUCUCUGAAACCUCUGCUGAGGGAGUAUUUUGUUUUCACCCUAUGAGUUCAUUAAGUGGAACAUCUUCAUAAUGAUUCUGUAGGACUAAUAACAACAAAAGCCACUAACCUCUUCGCAUCUUCACAGCUACCCUUUUAAAGCUGUGCUCAUGUAAGUUAAACGAUCCUUUAAAAACAAAAACAAAACAACAAAUCCCACACAACAGUCUGACAGCACACUCAGACCACAGAGUCUGUGCUGAUUGGGAAAUGCCAUUUGUCACAUGUCAGUAUUUUUGAUCAGUGGCAGGAGUUUCUAACAUGACCUCAGUUGUUGCAUGUGAUGCUACACAGAAAUAAUACCUAAGUCAUGGAGUCACACCAGACCAAACAGAAGUGGCAUUUGGAAAGGAAAGUAACGCAUGAAGUAUGCAUAAUGGAAACCUAUCGCCGCUUUAAAAAUCUCUAGAAAUCUCUACUAUUUGAAGAUGAAAGUAAUAACAUUAAAUUGGCUGAAAGGAAAAUUACUAUUGACUGUGAAGACAGGUUGCAUGGUCUAUGGUUUGUAAUGUUACUGUACAGCAGAUUGAAGUUUCAAAAUAGUAUUACUCUUCUUUAAAGAGAUAGACACAGCUAAAUUAGGUGCUGCUUGCUGCAGUGAGGAUCAAAUGCAAAAAGAAUCAUAUUUCAUCAGACCUAGUCAACACCAGGAAAAUAAAUAGAAAUAUAAGAGGUAUGCAGGCAAUGAUUCAUUUUGAUAAUCUGGCCCAAGAGAGACACAUAGAGACAGCACACAGAUCUAAGCUUCCACCAAAAGACAAAUAGGACACAGAGGGUGGGAAUUGGGAUGACAGUGUAGCAGAGGUCACAUCGAUUUUCAGCAGCAGUUUUCACACAGAUGAGAUAACCCUGGACUCUAUUUGGCCCAUUGUUCAUAUCCUACCUGUCCCACAAGCAAUAAAUUUCCAAGUCCCAGAAAAAGGGCAGUAAAGAAGAAGGAUUCUACUUACGACUUCUUAUGAUUAAGUUUUUGUGCUAACCAAACAUGCUUUGCAGACCAAGGUCACAUUGCAUGUUAAAGUCUGUAAUAGCUGAAAACUAGAAGAAGCAUAUUAUGUUUUAGCGUAUAUGGGUGGAAACUGUCAAACCAUUCAUCAUUUUUUUUUUUCUGAUUGAAAUCACACUCUGCAAAGAUGAAUGAUAAAUGCAUUAGAAAUCUAUUUCAAUCUUGUAAUAGGUCUUCACAUCUGAAUGGUGUCUACAUCUUGCCCACAUUCUGAGUAAGUGCACAGUUAGGCAGAAAUUUAUUAGCUAGGCUUAAGAAAUUCUAAUUGGGAAAGCAAUUAAAAAUGGCACGUGUUGGAAGCAUUUUUGAGGACUGCAUCAAGUGCAGCUCUUCAACAGAAAAAAAGACGUUGAUUUUAGUGUUUUGAUUUUAAAGAACACUGAAGAUAUAAAUGCUGAAAGCAGCACUCACAUACAGUACAACAGAAUAAACAAGAAAUAAAGCUAGGGCAAAUACUGUCUAACCAAGGACACAAACAACCUUCCUAUUUAUUGAAGCAAAGUGGGAACUACUUUUAUUGAGCUUGUUUGUUAAACCUGCCAUGCUUUAUAAUAGCAUUCAGGAAUCCAUUUAGAGUGCAGUCUUUUUAUUUGAAUUUCUCGUUGGCAUCCAGGUGAAUAGACGAAAGCAAGAAUUAUAUUGCAGAGCAAAGAAAUACACAGUAAAUACUAACAGUGAAUGGAAUUAUUAUCCCAGGAAAGUGCAUGGAAAAGUGCUAGAAAGUUUCUUGUUGUUAAUGCGAUAUACCAAAGUAUUUCAUCUUCCAUCUUCUGCCUAACUUGCAGAAAUCAGGAUUGGAAAAUUAAGCAUCAUCCUAUGGACUAAAUGCAGCACUGGGAACAUGAGUAACGCAAAUUGCUCCCCGCGUGACACUGCACAGCCCUAACCAACAGGCAAUUUUAUUUACCAGCUGGUUUAUGUUCUUUCAAAAGACAUGCUUUUAAAUCCAUCAUUCAUAUACCUGAUGCACUUGACAUGUCACAUCCCUCUCAAAACAAGCUAGAAAUAUUAAAGCUGAAAUUUACAUAUUACUGAACACUGGUUAGAUCACUGUGUUAUUUUUUUACAUGCAUUUCAAAACAUAUUUGUCUGAAGGCAUUACAUGUAAGCCUCACCAAAAUUAGUUUAUAGAACACAAGAUACAAUGCAUAAAAUAAAUACGUGAUAAGGAAAAAAGCAGAACGAAAUUCAUAAGAAAUUGAUAGUUAUUAAUCUGUUCGUUACUCAUCACGACAUUUGAUCUCAGAAAACCUUCAGCCAGCAUUAAUAACGUGGUUUUGGACGUAGAUGGCACUGGGAUCAUUCUAGAUCUCUGCCUGUGGCACACAAUUUAGAAAGCUAAGGACUAAAAGGGUUCAUCGUAAUUACAAUUCUUGAAGCUUCAUAUUUGAGUGAUGGGAAUUGUAUUAAAUGGUCCACAGUUAGAAAGGAACAGCCUGGGUGCUCCAGUGGACUGCUGUAACCUUUAAUCGAAUAAAAAGGUAUUCCCAACACCAGCUGAGUUUAUGUGCUACUCAUCUUCCAAAGUAACACAUUACAUUUCUAUUUGAAAUGGCAUUAUUUGCCCAAAGUUCUUACAGAAUUAUCCAAAUUGAUAGUGCUUGAAUUCCAGUUGUAUGUCUACUUCACAAAGACAGUGAUAGGCAUUGGUGACCUAAAAGAUGGGAAUUUUUGGCAGAAUUAAGGCUCGGAUAGCAAUUUUUGAUGGCAAGAAGCAGUUUUCCAAAUGAAGUGCAAUUUUUUUAUUGUAAACUGGCAGCUUUUACACUGCUUACUUAGAAACUAGAAUAAUUCUCUUCUUUUGCAGAAAGGCAAGUAUUUAAAACUGUUUAAAGCCUGAUAAUCUGUGAGUCUGCAGGACAGGGCUGACAUUCUGCCGUGCCUUAAUCCCUCUGAAUUCCUCUGUAGAGCUCUGUGUGCCUUUCUCUCCUUCACUGCCUGCUCCUCUGCUGGGGGCCGAGCCCUCCUCUUCAUUGCUGAGAAGAGAGAACUCCUUCUAACUUGGCACCCAUCAGACUUCGACAUUUACUGCUUUAACCUUGUGAUUCAGGUGCCAAAUUUGAAGUCGCUGCUGUUUUUCUUAAUUACUGCCCCUGAAUGAACAGGGUCAAUGAAUGCAACUGGGAGAUUCUGACUGCUGCACUGCGCUAGCUUUAAAUCAGACUUUACUUCAUUUUCCAGUGCUUGAUACAACUCAAUAGCAUACAAGCAUUUGUCACUACAGAGCCUUGCUGUAAAGAAACUUCCCUUUAAAAAUAGUAUCUAAUCACUAUACAUGCAUUUCCAGACUGCCUUAAAAGCUUCCAGAAACUCACAAAACAGUAACACCAACUGCCCUCUGCUUCACAGUACCUGCUUCCCAGCUGGUUCUCACCCAUGCAAUCUGAAAUCAGUUGAUUCUGUCCUGAAGCGUUUAGUAAAGCCUUUCCAUUGUUUUCAACACAGGAAAAAUGUAGACCGUGUCUGUUACAUUUAGAGCGAUGUGCUGGCUUGGGAAAAACUGAAUAGUAAACCACAGUGAAAAACCAGAAAGCCAACUGUGCGAGCAUCGCAUACACUUCUAUUGCCACAGAGCUCCUCGCAGGAAUUACGAGGGUGUGUUUUCCUGCAGGAGGUCAUAAAGAAGGCACUUGGGCUUUGAAUAGGAGAAGGAAGCAAAAAGCAAAGAAAUGAAAAUUUCAGCAGAAAAGGCUGAAAUUAGAGUUUACAAAUUGUCUUUAUCUGUGCACUCUUUAACAAGGGAUGAAUAAUUAUACAGCUUUGACAUUUUCAUCAAUGUACUCUCAUUAUUAAGACAGAAAAUUACACCUAUUUAUAACUUCAGCAUAUUUACAAUGCCCUCUGAUGCUCACGUGGCACUGACAGUAAAAGCACCUGAAAAUACUUCAUUAAUUCAAAUCUUAACAACAACAAAAAAAACAACAACAACAAAAAAAACCCACACACCAUGAAUUAGAUGAGAUUUUUGUCUUGUAAAACAUUAAAAAAUGCAAUGAAGAUUGCAGUGAUUCACUGGCCAGACAUCAGAACAUUUCACUGCGAGGAGCUUUAGUCUAAAUUUAAUACAGACAGAUUAGGAAAAAUACAACCAAUGCCACUUGAAGAAAUUCUGUUCAUCAUGAAAAAGUGUAAGUACAAUUAAUGCGACCAAUAAAAACACUAAGAGCCUUCCAAAGUACUAUAUUUUAUACGUACAAUAAUUAUUUACAAUUAAUUGCUUGUGUGUGUUAGUAUUAUACCUGCUUUAUCCUCUCAGCUGUUCCUCAGGCGGGUUUUGGUCAUUUGAAUUCCAGCAUUUGAAGUUGCUCUAGGCUUCAACUUUUAAAUCUAGGUAGGAGCUAAUUACUAUCAAUCUGCAUUUUCCAUAUGACAACUUAAAGCAACUAGUUACUUGCAGCUAGUAACAGCAACUUGUCAUUCCUCGCAAGGACAAGGAGCAGUAUUUCUCCUGACAGCAGAGAAAAGUGAAAAUGUGAAUUAUUCAAUAAAAGGCCAGUAAUAAAAUUACAACAUGGAAGAAAGGAAGAAAAUGAAACAACAAACAAAAUGCUGCUCGCGGCCAUUACCAAGAGACCGCAUUUUUUUCUCAGCUAACUCUCCUAUUAACAUUCACAAAGGCUUUUUCGUGGUGAGUUUUAAGUCUCAUUGCAGUCUGACUACUCUUCUACCAGGAUUUUAAGCUGUCAGAUGAGGAUGGGUGGGAAGAACUUGCCAAGAAGAAAAAAAAUUCUUCCAUUUUCUUGGCGGAUUCAGCUUUUCCCUAUUAAUGUUGAGAUUAUUUCUUCAACUAUUUUGUUGCAAAUAUUUAUGACUCCAUAUGGAACAACAGAUGUUGAAGGAAAGGGAUAGCAGAAAAGACUUCAUUUUCAGCAAUUACCCUGCUACUUGUUGUCAUACUGUAGGUGUUCUUAGUGCAUCUAUUUUACACACCACCCUGUCCUUUCACACACUGCAAAGAUGUCAGUUUGGAUAAUUAAUGUAAUAACUUUCCACAAUAUUUCCAUCUACUAUCAUUUCCACAAUAUUCACUUACGCAAAUGAAAUAAAUAAGGCAACAGGAAGAAGAAAUCAGGAAGGAGGAGGGGAGACAGGGAUUGCUCCCGGUCCUUCUGGACUAUCUGAGCGGGAAUUGGCUUCUCAUGAAAUGCCUUGGGUCCUUAGUACAGACUCUUCCCUUUUUUCAUUUGAGACAGAUUCCAGUGACAGCCAGCAAGAAAUCACACAACAAGGCUAUCCAACACACAGUGCAAGAAGCGAUGGAAUUAUUGCAUAAUUACGGUGCAGAAACACAUUCUGAGUUUGGCGGAGGUAAUUCGUAACAGGUGGAUGGCAUUUGGGCUGAAGAAACAGCCGUGAGCUGACCUGCCGGCCCAGCACCACAGGCAGCCAGAGCGGCCGUGCCACGGCCUCAGGCAGCGUGAGCGACUCCUGGCUGAGUGCGGCCACCGGCAGCGGCGCUUCACCUUCAGGUCAGCCCAGGUGGGGCGGCCUGGGUGUGCGGCUGGCCGGCUGUGAGGGCUGCACGCAAAGCUGCUGAGCCCGCCCAGUGCCCAUGGAAGGGCAGCCUGUGCCUCUGCAGCCGGGCACUCUUUCGUGACCCGUGUAUAACUAAAAUAUACAAUGUGCUUUUAAAUAAUUUUGUCGUUUGCUCCCUCUGCUGCAGUAUUUGGUAGUAUAAUAAAUAACCUGAAACAGAUCUCAUUAGCGAGAUUGCGUUUUCUGAUAUUCACAGAACCCACACAACCACAUAAACGCUUCCAGAGAACUAUGAUCAGUGAGACCAAAUCUGUCCCAGGAUGGCAGAUGUGCUCGCAUUCCCAUUUUACACCUGAAAAGCCCCACCUGCCUACUUCAUCUGCACAUGUGCCACCAGGAAAGGCUUUUCACUUUGUCUGCCUGGUAGAUGCCAGCUGUGCAGCUGUGAGGUGAGGCAAAGGAUACACCUGAAAUGGCACUGCUCCACUCCAGAGGUCCAUGAUCCUGAGCUUGUGCAAAGCCUGCCUGGAACAGAGACAGACACUCACUGCCUUCGGGCCUCAAAGCACUAAACUGAGCCCUAUUUGGCCACCAGCAAACAUAACGGCCCACAGAACACAGCCAUGUGGAGCGGUGCUACUGGACAUAACACCCCCUGAUCACCAAGCAGAGCUGAGUGGUGGCCAGGGAGCAGCUGUGGGGCUCUGGGUGCUGUCAGAACACAGCCAGAAGAGCCCUAAACCUCUAGAUAUGAGUACAAAUACUGUUGUGAUGUCUGCUGUAGAACUGCAUUCAGGUAAUACUGAAUAGAGAUUAUAAAGUAACGCGUUAUAUGAUUUAUGUUAACACAGCAAUUAUGACACAAAAGAUACCUCAUCUCUUUUAAUUUGUUUAAAAAUAGUACCAAAAUCAUAUCAAUAUUGUAACCGUUUCGUUCAAUUUCUUGAAGUGCAUGUAUAGCUAGCAGUUAAAUCCCUCAAAUAUUAGAAGCAGGCAGAGUACUCCAUUUCCUAUUCCUGGAUAAUUAUUCCUGCUUUAUUAAGGUUUAUUUUACAACUGUAUAAAAUAGGUUAUAAAGGACAAUUCUGCUAUUAUGUCCUCCCCUGCUUAGGCUUAAUAAAUAUUAUAUUCCAAACCAUCCAUUAAAGCCAAGCAGUGGAAAAAAUAAGAGUGGUAGUAAUCUCCUCCACAGAUGUAAAAUACCUUUAAUAAAAUAAGGGUGUAUAACAGUCAGGAACAAAUUACUGAGGUCUGCUUUAAUAAAAUAGUACCCUUAAAGAAGUAUUACUCUUAAGGCACUGACAUCCCCACUGGUGAUGCAGUGUAUCCUUUCAAAGCAGUAUAGCUUGUUAAAAUGGCAAGAUAUCUUUUUGCAAUAGAGUGUUUGUGUCCAAGCAGAUACAAGGUUUGUAUAGAAUGCAUCCAGGGAGCCAUAAAACUGGUGGGAAACAUAUUUCUCUGUGGUAUUUUAGUACUUCGAAAAAUUCAAUCACUGGGAAAAAAUGUUUUGCUGUAAACAUCUGAAGAGCCUUAUAAAAGCAAUGGCUUCCCACAGCACCUGCUUAAAUAAUUUUAAGAGGGAGUAUGUCUUUGCUCAUCUUCUAAAACUUGUAGAAAGCUGCUCCCAUUAAUUUCCCUGGUGCUGUAAGGCCAGGGCACUUUUAAUCAGAAAUAAUUAUGAGUACGGUUAGGGGAUGCUCACCAGCAUUAUUUUUGCACUGUAGAGAUAAGACAACUUUCAACACCGAUUGCUUGGAGAAACAUGACUGUCGUAAUAGGAAAACAGAUGGAAAGACGAUCACCUUGAAGUUUGCUUUUGAAUGAAUUAGGAAUUAUUCAGACGUCAACGAAGGAGUUGAUCUCUGAAGAAGUAUCCUGGCAUUUCCACUCAGUUUGCUUACACAAUGAUUUUAUGGACCUUGAUUAUCAAGAAACACAAGAAGUCCAUCCUUUCUAAACGUACUUUUUAAUUGGUUUCAUCAUCUGGGUGAGUAGCAGCUCUGUGCCGUGGCUGUCACCAGCACAGUCCCUGGCACGUCCUUUUCCAGCCUUCCAGACACAGCUCACAUCUCGCACAGCUCCUGGGCGCACUGCCCGCCAGCCCAGCUCCUGCUACACCAACCCACACAGCACAAGGCUUCUGCACACCUCCCAGCGCAGGGCUCAGCGGCACUCCGGAGUGCUGCCGCCCAGAUGAUGCCACAGCUCUUGCAGUUAUUAAAGAUUACAGAACUGAACCCUACUGCAACUGAGCCUCUCUUUGGCUAGGAAACGGUCAGGAUUUGGCUUAUCCGAGUCCUCCCCCGACAAAGAGGGCAAGUAAUAGGCCCUCUGAUAGAAAUGUUGUCCUGGCGUAUCGAUAUUACAUCUUAGUGACAGAAUGAUUAGGCUCCCAUAUAUCAGCGUUACAGCAGCUCAGUGCAGGGAGCUGCCGGUCCAUGGCAACGCAGCACAGCUCCUUGCCACCAAAUAAUUACACGAUGCUCUGGGGAAAGACAAGUUUUCCUAACACACAGCCAAUCUAUCAGAAGGGAAAACUCUUCCUGACCCAAACGGCAGCUGCGAUCGCAGUGUGAAUGUGAGCUAACCACCAUAACGUCCUCGUCCACUGCUCUGCAACCCGAAACUGUUAGGUGUACUGCUGGCACUUACCCUGCUGGCUCUUCUGAAAAAUCAAAUACUGAGGAAAGGAAAUAAAGUGGAAAACUUUCUGCAGAAAGGAGCAGCUGCCUAACAUUCAUCUGCUCUGCUCUUCCUUUAGAUCAGCUUGAGUACUGUGCCUGGCUCCUCGGGAGGGGCAGUGAGCAGCUCCAGUAUGUAUCUGAGACCAAACAUCUCUUGCAAAAAGCGUUCAACAAAGCAUUUAAGUUACAAGUUGCUACUGUGUCCUAUGCUUUCCCUCAGCAUACUACCCACACAGCCCAGAACCUGGCCAGCAUUCUUUCCUCUUCUCUCUGCCUGACUUCAGUCACUUCUGCCAUGCAGCUGAACCAGCAAGGGGAAGGACCUCACGUUCUGCUGUGGAAUGUGGCAUAUGGCAAAGUACGGCAGUAAUACCACACUGCUUAGACUGAUUUCUUUAAUAAAAUCCUAAUGUCCACUGACGCCAAAACACAAAAGCUUGAGCACCAAAUAAAUGAAGAUCUAUUCCUUUUUCUUACAGCCAUGUGGAUGUACAAUCCUGUUCUGUAUCGAUUCAGGAUUACAAACAAAUCUAUCCAGGAAAACUUUUGGCUCCCAGUCACUAUAAAUCCUAGGCAACUUUAUGAUAAAAAAAUGCCAUUAGAAUCAUCAUAACUAAAACCUUCUCAGGAGAUUUUUGAAUACACCUCUUGGAUUUGCAUGCUUCUCAACUAAAAA